UACGGAGGGUGCAAGCGUUAUCCGGAUUCACUGGGUUUAAAGGGUGCGUAGGUGGGUCUGUAAGUCAGUGGUGAAAUCUCCGGGCUUAACCCGGAAACUGCCAUUGAUACUAUAGGUCUUGAAUUAUCUGGAGGUGAGCGGAAUAUGUCAUGUAGCGGUGAAAUGCUUAGAUAUGACAUAGAACGCCAAUUGCGAAGGCAGCUCACUACGGAUAUAUUGACACUGAGGCACGAAAGCGUGGGGAUCAAACAGG
rnacentral:rRNA from 1 species